AUUCAACGAAGCCACGUUUCCUUCCUUGCUGGUUAUUCGCGUCGCAGAGUCAACCUUCACUCGAAGGCCCACUGGUUCUCCCUCCGAAUUUCCUCCUCCUCCUGCGGUGUGAAGUCGUUGACGAUGUUGAAGGUCUUGCGGAUCUCCUCCGGAGUCUUGCCCUUGAUCAUGUCGGCGACCGUCUGACAGGUCAGGUCGAGGAGCCCCUUGAUCUCCAGGUAGUUCGCAGCCUGUCAAGGCAAAUGGAAGCAAUCAAGGUCAAGCAUCACACUGAACAUAUAUAAGAACAGGAGCAUCAGACAUAGUAGAUCAAUCCAUUAUCAACAGAAGACAGAGCUUCAGUUCAUAUUUAAGAAACAGAGUACCAAUGUUGUACAGAAUCAUAUUUAAGCAAGACAGAGCAUCGGUUCAUAUCAUGCUGAGCAAAGCAAACAUACAUAGCAAUAUAGCAUGGCGAGGGAGCAAAGCUAGUAUUAAAGCAAGACACUAUCAACACGUAGUGGUACCAAGGACAAACACAACUGCUUACACAAGAUAGUUACCUAUACAGGGCAGAUGAAUUAUACUAGAGCAAGGUGGAUAACACUAAUCAAGUACUUACAACAACCUAAAAACUAGCAGCAACAAGGGUCGGGCAUAAUGACAAACAGAUAAAGAACAGGAGCAUCAGACACAGAAGGUUAUUGCAACAUCCGCAUUAUGAAAGAACUUGCAGUUCAUACUUAAGCAAGACAGCAGUAGCAAUAAAUAAUGGUGAGUACGCAAACUUCAUGCUUAAGAAAGAAAGUGGCAAUAUGCCUUUAGGUUGUGGUACAAAGAGACAAGAACACAACUGACAUGCAUUACAAGCAUACACAGUUGGACACAAAUACAGUGCACACGAAUUAUACUUCACCAAGGUGGAUAACGCAAAAACAACUAUUUACAACAAAGCUACCAACCAUUGAGCAGUAAAGUAAGGCAUAUUUUAUUAUACGCAGAAGUGUAUAUAAACUGAUGGGAUACACAUACUACAGAGCUAAACAAAAACGAAUUGUCUACUGUAACUAUUGUAUGUCCAUGUACAAGCCUUGCAAAGUACUAUCCCAACAAAGAACACCAGAAAGCAACAAAUAAACAUAACAUGCUUCACAUCCUGAUGGAGGUCAGAUACUGAAUAGUUUAACAAACAGAUUCUAGAAUAGCAUUCUUGUCAGAUCAGGCAACAAGCAUUGAAUAGUAAUGCCACUCAAGGCCGGCAAGGCCACCACAAAGCGACAACUAGGACCAUGCUAAUAUCUUGUUAUUGUAUUGCAGACUACCACAAAGCAUUGUUUAUCUAGUACAGCAUUUAACGAUGCAAUGCAGAUAAUCAAUUUUUUAUCACAGUACUGUUUCCAAGUAAUAAACAAAAUAGCUGAGAGUAACCAAAUUAGGAAACAGAAAACAGCUGACUGCAACAAGUAAGAAACAAAGUAGUAACAGUGAGUAAUCCAAAUGAGGUAACAGAAAACAGCUGGCUGUAACAACAUAGAAUGCAUUCACUUACACAGAAAUUCGUAUCAGGCAUCACUUAUUAUCUGAAACAGAUCAUGCCAAAGAUACAUAACAGUACCAGAACUGAACAUCAUUUAUUAUCUGAAAUGCAGUGAUACAUCUAAAAAGCAGACAACUAAAUGCUAGUAGUACACAUGGGCUUAAUCCUGCAGCAGAACUGAACACGGAAAAAUUAUCAUCACUUGAAGUAAAAAAGCCGACUACUAUGUCAUGCAACCAUCAGACACUUCAGUAACAUUACCGAAUCGCUCACAUAACAGUUGUCACAUCCAAUAGAUUGCAUAAACAUGACAAAACGCACUAAACGGAAAACCUGAAAAUAUACAGCACGGGGAAAAACUACGCACUUGAAAUCCACAAUCAUAACGGAUGAAACGAACCUGCAAUACGUCCCAUUUCGUAGCACAGCAACAACACAAAACCCUAAACCCUAGAACAACUAAGUUGGCGUCCACAAUCGAACAGCGAAUCUGGGCACCAACCGCUCAAAUCCACACCGCAAUCGCAUCUAAACGGCCGGAACACAAGCCCUCAACGAGUACAUACAAUGUAGGAGCACGGCACGGGAGGGGAAGAGGGGAUCGGAAGUCUCGCUCACCAGGAUGAGGUCGAAGAGGACCGUCUGGUCGACUUUGACGAAGUGCUCGUCGAAGGCCUUGAGGUUCACCUCGUCGGGCUUGACGGAGGUGGAGGUGGAGGAGGAGUCGGCGGCGGCGGCGGCUGCGUCCCCGUUCAGGACGUGCUGCUUGCAGUAGUCGAUGACCUUGAUGAGGAUAUUGGCGCUGACGUUGGGGAGCGGGAUGAUGUUGUCGGCGCAGCCGUCAUCCACCAGGUGCUUGAUGGUCUGCGACGCCAUGGCCACCGCCACAUCCACCACGAACACCUCGUCGUCGGAGCUCUUGAGCGUGAGGUUCUUCACCGCCGCCGAUGCCGCGUCCGCCGCCAUCGAUCCGAUCGCCGGGGAGGUGGGAGGCGGGGGUUUUUGGUGGUGGUGCGCGGCGGGAAACCCUAGGGGAGGAGGCGAGUGGUGGUGUGGAAUCGAAGGGAGGGGAAGGGAGGCGCCUUUUAUUUCCGGCGACGCAAAGAGGAAGGCUCUAGAACCGGGGGCAAUUGGGGUUUCUGGACCGAAACCUGUGGGCCUCGGAGAUAUGGUGGGCUUUCUGGGCUGUGGCCCUCUUGGGGUCUCUUUUCGUUAAAAUAAAAACCGGCUGAGUAUUUCUCGAGAAAAAAAAAGGGUAAUUACUGGAAUUUCACAGGAUACUGCAGAAAUACAUUCCAGCUUUUUGCGUGAGUUUCGAUAGUUCAAAUGGAUUUCAAAUACUGAUGUGAUGCCUACAAGAAUAUGUUUCAGUGCACAUGAGAAAUACGUAUUUUAUUGGAACGUGCACACGCACUCUUGUCGUGCCUGGCCCUGAACUAUUUUAUUAGAGUAUUAUCCACGGGAGCUUGGUACUGUACUACUCCCUCCGUCCCAAAAUAAGUGUCUUAAGCUUAGUAUAAUUUUGUACUAGAGCUAGUAUAAAGUCGAGACACUUAUUUUGGGACAGAGGGAGUACUUAAUUCAGUUUCGAUAGGUCAAAGUAAGCAUGCACGAACAACGAACGUUUAAAAGAAAUGAAUUCAUAUGAUAUCAUAGUAAAAUAAUUUAUGAUUUUUUUCAGACAGGUACAAAAUGUUACUAUGUCACUCAAAUUGUAUUUUCAAAAUUGUGACAUAUUUGUGAUCCAACACACGUAUCAUAAUCUAUAGUAAAACAUAUUUGAGUUUUUUUAUCGAGUCAUUUAACGGUGUCUUACAUAAAACAAUAUGAGAACGUGCGUAACAUACGAUCUAGAAACAUGUCUCCGCAUAAAAUUCACGAUCACAUAAUAAUUGUAUUAUAAUUGUUAGAGAAAUAUAUUAUAAAACCAGGACUAAGCACGUCUUGAAGGUCCAUCUUUUGAAGCAAUGAAAGUUCAUCUAUAGAUGCGAUCUAUGAUGCUUUCUUCAAUGUAUGAGAUAUUGUUUUGAGAUUUAUUUUCUUCAUACUUUAAAAUAUGCAUCAAAAAUCGCUUCCUCAGUUCAAAACAAUCCUACAUAUGAAUUAGACAACAUUGUUAUAACAAGUUUGUAUGUGUAAUGUGUAUACAAAUAAGCAUGGUGUAAAUACUCACCUGGGAUAUAGGAAAAUAUAGCUUUCUAUCGCACAAUCAGUGCAUGUAGUUAAAAACCAAAUACCCCGACAAGGCACUGCAUGUAUGAAAUAAACACAUAUUGUGCGUUGAAUGAAUGAAUUAUUUAAUAUUAUAAUGCAUUAAAGAGAUUCAUACCAGUGUGAGUUUGUUGGAACAACCGGAACUAUACAUUCCCAUUUAGAGAUAUCGUCCUUGAAUGCAGGGUUUGCAACUUGGAGUGUGAGGUUUAGGUUACUGACCGCGGUUUUAAGUAUAUUCUUCCCCAAAGUAGGUAUUGGUAUCGGAUCAAAAAUUGAGAUAAGUUUUUUAUGUUGAUCCAAGACAAACAAGAGAAACAACCCAAAAAUAUCCCAAGGCAAUAAAAUCUGCAAUGAUGUAUACGUUUAUAAAUACAUGAAAUAUUAAUUAAAACCAAAUAAACCACUGUUAUAAACGAAAAAUUAAAAUCUUACCAUAACACAAUGUGAGAUAUGACACUCAUUGUUGUCAGGCCAGCUAUGAAACAAUCGUUUGAACGUAGCACUGUCCAUAUUUUCAUGAUGACUUGGGUCUCGUGCAUAGUGGAACAUGGACUAAAAAAGGAAGAAAACAAUAGUGCUAUGAGGAAAAAAUAUGUAAUACGCAAUUAUAGUAUCUUACACAAAAGUUUAGAUCCAUAUAGUGAGAUGGAAUGUCUCCGAGAAGCUCGACUUCGUGGCGCGCUAGUAUCCGCACAACCCUCUUAAAGGAAUCAAUAUUCAUAUAUUCAUCAUUGUUUAAUAUGUUUUUUAUUUGUCUCAACUUUAAGCUGAUAGGGUAAGGAUCAGAGCUUUUCACCCAUUCGCUCUUGUAAAAUCAAAUUUUUGUUAAUUAUAAUGACAUAAGAGUAAUUUAUUAGAAUACAAAAUGAACUAAAAGAACAUGACUUACUAAGUGUCAUCAUCAACCAUACUGAUGAACAAGCACAAUUCAUCUAUUAAGUCAUCGUUUGUUGGGUUGACACACGGUGAAAGGAUAUAUGACUGUGAGAUGAGCUCAACAUCUAACGAUGUAUUCGAUGUUUUGAGAUUCUGAGAGGGUCCAUCGAGAAUCAUACAAUCCGUGGGAUCUAUAUUGUUUUCGUCAUCUUCCAUGUCUCGAUUUCUUAUAUUAUCAUCAUUAAUUGUGAGUCCACUAAAAUGACAGCUAGUUUUGUUCUAAAAUCUACCAUAUGAUCCUAUUAAAGUAGAAAUAAGAGUUAAAUAAUGAUACAACAUAGAAUAAGUAUUACAUAAAAUUUACCUGCGUAGGAGUGUCAGACAAAUCAUUUCGAGUGAAGUACUCCAUAAAAUUUAUCAUCCACAGACCACAAGGAAAUGUCCGUGGAAGUACGAUUCUUUUGUCAAUUCGAUCACCGCGUGACUCACUCGCAACGACGGUGUCAACAAGACCCUAUAAUAGCAUACCAGGUUAUAGUCAACGCAUGGAACAUCCACCACAUCGUUGUAUUAUGAUGUAUUACAAUAAACACAAGCACAAUACCUGGUAGGGGUCAGCGCGGAUGACCUUCUGAUUUUCCGGCUUUGAGUACCAGUCAAGCCGCAUAGUCUCAAUAUUAAUAUACAUGUCAACAACCCAUUGUUGGAAAAGGCGCCCCUGAACAAGAGGAUGUUAAAAAGCUUCCUCCUGACUUGCAACUUGAAGCAGUAGUAUUCCCUUGCACUACCAAAUUUCCUGAAUUGUGUUCCACUGACUUCAUUGUCAGCAAAAUCCUCAUCUGGCUUAUCCUCAUUGUCAUCUAUAAGAUUAAGAACAUAAAUAUCAGUAUGGUGGUUUUACCUAUAAUGAUCGACAACACUCAUAAUGGUCGACAACAUACAAAAUUAAUAUUUAGCAAUGAUGAAUGAUACGUGAAGGUAAAUCAUCGUUUGUGGCUUCAUGCGGUGUAAAAUUCCCAUCUCAUUCUCUUUUUCAAUUUAAGUUCCCUUCUGACAGAUGUUGAUGAAAACACAACUUAUGACUGUCAUUCAGAAAUACACCAGUAUAUAAAUUAAUAGUGAACAUCAUACCUGUAUAUAAAUCAAGGGCUUGGUUUACAUGUGGCACAGGAUUAUCCGCUUCUCGCGAUGCACCAUUCGCAUCUUGUUCUCUUUCUCUAAUCAAGUCUUUGUCUGAUAGAUAUAUGCAUGAAAACAUUAGGUUUCUUCAUCAUUCGCAAAAAGUAGGUAUUUAUAUAAAUUAACAGCGAGCAUCAUACCUAUAUGUAAAUAAGAGGCUUGGUUUCCUUGGGUUGCAGACAUAUGCAUGGAAUUUUGGGUCGUGUCAUCCGGGGGCGGAAUAUAUGGCAUGCAACGAUUCCAACCAGUCUCUCCACGUGGGAAGAAUAGUGGAUAUGACAAUGGGUCGUAGCACCCAUAGUAUGCUCUAAUAUAUAAUGGCCGGUUUCCUGUUUUCGCAUGCAAGACAACAUCCCGUCGAAGCAAUUUUGUGGGUCACUGUCACGCCCAAGAUGCGACCCUCUCCUCAAUUUGGCACGAAGGCCUCGUCAGGGAUAGAAGCGCAUCUCGUCGUGUCGCAAGAAUGGAUAUCAUUACAAGUACAUGUACCGAAAAUAAGAUAUAUAUAUAUAUAUAUAUAUAUAUAUAUAUAUAUAUAUAUAUAGAGAGAGAGUAGUACGUACUACCGUNNNNNNNNNNNNNNNNNNNNNNNNNNNNNNNNNNNNNNNNNNNNNNNNNNNNNNNNNNNNNNNNNNNNNNNNNNNNNNNNNNNNNNNNNNNNNNNNNNNNGCAUGCAAGCUUGACCUGCUGCAGUUUCGUGACUGGACUUCUCAAGCCAGCUAGGUUGUUUACUGGGCUGCCAUCACUCCCAAGCCUUAAGGAACUCAUGCUCAUGGAAUUCCACAACGGCUACAAGGAUAAUUUUGUGGAAGAGCUGAGGGGUGAGGUGGCAAAAAAUCAAAAUCGACCGGCUUUGAAGAGGCACUGAGCAGAGCUCUAUAUUUAUCGAUUUGAAGCUUCCAUUUUCUUUUCAACCGAUUCAUUGUGUUUCUUAAGGAAUUGUUUCUUGUGUUUUUUUGUGGCGCAUGUGCUCUGUUCUGCAUCUGUCAGUUUCAGUAACCGUGCUAUGAAGAAUAAAUUGUGUACCAAGGCAUUGUAACACAGAACUAUAAAUCAUCCGGAUUGUGUUUUCAUUGUUUCUCUUUUCUUAUUUUUAACCCUGAAUACCCACCGUCAAAAUCCUGGCUAGGCCAUGGAUGUUUCUCUGAUCAUGUAUAAGCCACUGAAUGAGCAAUUUAGGCAGGUGUGAGUCAGUGGCGGAGGGUUCUUGGAGGGGGCAAACCAUGUAGGAGGGGCCAUCUAAUGCAAAGAAUAGGAAAAUUUGCAUCAUUAAUGGCUAAAUACAUGUUAUUGAUAUGGCAGAACUAAAUUAGAUUGGGGGGGGGGGGGCAGGUUGGCCAUCGUGAAGCUCCGCCACUGUGUGAGUAGAUUGCACCACAAAAAUGUAAAGAUAAAUUAACUUUUGUUCUAUGGGGUGACAAAUGGAGCAUGUUCUCUGUCAUGGUUUAUGCAUGCUCUUUCGCUUACUGCGGCAAUAGAGGCUGUAUAUACAGUUAAUAAGUAAAUCUACCUUGUUUAAACCCAGGUUCAACUAUAUUUUUCUGUGGACUUGGUCAAAAUAAAAGAAGUUUGACUUACACAAAUCUAGAAGUUCAACAAAUUUGAAAUGUACUACUGUACUAAAAUAGAACGUUCACAGGCAGUUCCAAUUUCUAAAAUCAUGGUAUGCUAUUCAGUCAAAAACAAAUCAACUAAUGCUAUAAGUAUUACAUAUAACACACAAAGAUAAGAGAUCGAAACUUCUACUGCAGAUUCACAUUGCUCGGAACCAAAAUGCAGCAGGACCUUACCGAUAUAUCGAAGUUUUCAGCCUUGCCGAACCCUGCAGGCGGCGUCCGCGGAAACGCGGUCGAUGGCGGCGGCGAUCUCCGCGGGUGGAUGACGCCGGAGGAGACGGCGGUGCUCCGGUGGAGGAGGCAGCCGCCCUGAACCGGGUCCCAACCAACGGCAAUCGGCCGAGAAAGGGGGGAGCGUCUUGCUCCGCUGUGUAGCUCCCAGCGGCCGCGCUCUGAAAUUUGGGGCCGCGCGCGGCUGAGCCGGAGAGAAGGUCGAAGGAGGGGGGCUGUGCCGGAGCGAGCGGAGGAGGCGCCCCAAGGGGGAACAGCCGUCUGGCCUGGCCCUGGUUGGUUGGAAGUUCUCUUUCUACCUCUUCCCGUAUUGGCAAUGGAGUCAUUUUUUUAUUGUUCAAGAUCUCUUGUGCUUCAUGGCUGAAAAAAAGAACAGUUGCACCAGAUGAACAAAAAAUGAACUGAUCUAUAGUCAGACAGUGUCACUCUUGGACCAAAAAUAUCGUCUCUAUAUAAGUAUCCCCUCGGUCCUAAACUUCUUCUCUCACACUUGUGUAAAUAAAAAUAUAUCUAGUCACGUUUUAGUAUUUUAAUACAUCCACUUCUAAAUAGGACGGAGGAAGCAUCACUGAAGUAAGAUUUAAGUCCCAAACGAUUAUGAAAAGUGUAACUUUUCAUUUUCUUUUAUAAAGGGUGCUUUAUUAUUUAAUAUAUUUUUGUAUUAUAUCCGGCCUCUGCAUAACUGAUAUACACACUACAGUCAUCAAAUCCACGUUCAAGAAAAAUAGUAAAAAGGAUAAAUGCAAGUUAUAUGCAGAGAUUGUAUAACGCCUAAUCCUAAGAGGGUCAAUUUGAAUAUUAUGUCUCCAUCCAUGUCGGGUAAAAAUAUCCUAUGUUGUGGCCUUCAAACGUGUACACACCUCUGUAAACAGGUCUUGAUUCUCCAAAUGUUGUAGAUACGAUCAUAAUAUGAAGUGUACCGGUACAUCUCUAAAUAACCUGCAUAAAAAAGUAUUUUUAUCGUUAAAAACCUUAUCAUUUCUACAUAGUCUAGAUGAACAAAUAACGACAAACGCUCCCAUCUGACAAGAGUUCAAAACCUGUAUUAUAUCACAUGAAACCAGUUACCGAAUAUAUUAGCAAUGCUAUAUGGAGAAUAUACGUCAAAAGCUACUUAACUGAUUGACCAUAUAGAACGAGUCAAUUUGCAUUGAAAAAACAAUCAUUUUUUUCGUCUUGAUGACAGAACAAUCACAUUGAGUACUUUCAUGUCAAUUCUUCUUAGUUAGGUUAUCUUUGGUAAAAAUGACUCCACGAUAAAGAUAUCAAGCAAAGAUUUUAUUUUUAAGCGGUAUCUUCAUCUUCCAAAUAUUUUUAUUAUAAAGAUAUUUGUGGAUUAAGACAUAGCCAAACACAAAAAAUAUAUCUUUGCAAGUUGUUCUUGCAAGCUUCUGCAGCGAUUUACAUACAACAGUCAUUUAUGCGGUGGAAGAACUUGCGUCUCUUCGGGAUAAACAUAACCUACUACUCGACAUGGAAGAUGUAGACGAGUCCCGUCUUUUAAGGGAUGCAACUUCCCGCGCGCGGCGGCUCCGUGUCCUCGUCGGACUCAAAUUUAUCAAUUUUGCCAACAUUUUACUCAUCAAUUGGUUAAAAUCAACAUUGCAUUUAUACUAGGGCAGUGCUCUGCGCCGGCGCGCCGGCCGAAACUUUCGGCCGGCCGCGCGCGGGCCGCACGAUCCGUCAGCCGCCGCGCGUCCGCACCGUUAGAUCUAUCCAUGCAACAGAUAUUCCUCAAUGCAGUAAAUUUUGACCACGAUGCAACAAAUUUUCGCAUGGUUACAACAAAAAUAUGGUUGUAGCAGAAAAAUAUCAACGUGAUUGUAGAAAAAAACGACGCUGAUGAUGUGUGGUAAAAAACAAAAAAAGGGUUGUAGCAAAGCAAUCCGGUGAACUUGGGUUGCAACUCUUACGAACGUGGAUGCAACUUUUUUACUGAACGGUUGCAGCAAAAAAUGAUGCUGGUUGUAGCAAAAAUAAACACGGUUGUAGCAAGAGCGAUCAAUCGGCUCAACCACACAAGAACACCAGCAACCUCGCCGUCCCAGCACGGACAUAUCUCUACUAUUAAGGGCCUGUUUAGGACUACUCUGCUCCUUAAAAUUCAGCUCUGCUCUAGAAAAGAGAAGCCAAACGGGGUAGCUCCACGAUAUGCCGCUCCGCAAAAAAACUAGAAUCUGGGAUAGAACUUCAAAGUUUUUAUGAAGCUCCUCGGAGGGUGCUCCAAAACACUCUAGAAGCUAGAGUUGGAGGGAAAUUACCCACCACUGCCACCAGUAAGUGGAUACCCCUUCGUUUAUUUCCCAUCAACCAAUCAAAUAGAUUCUUUUCAUCAGAUUUUCUAUUUUUGAAGCUGGAGCUAGAUGGAAGCCAAACAUUGCAGAUCCAACUCUCCAUCUAAACCGUUUAAUUACAUCAUCAAGGGUCUAAAAACGUCGUUAGCGAAACUGACAGUUUUCGUCAGCGCUAAUUGCCCACCCCACGUCGUCCCGCAUCGCCCGUCCUCCCCCCGCUCGCCUCGCUCGCCUGCCUCGCCCCGCUCGCCCGCGUCGCCCCGCUCGCCCGCNNNNNNNNNNNNNNNNNNNNNNNNNNNNNNNNNNNNNNNNNNNNNNNNNNNNNNNNNNNNNNNNNNNNNNNNNNNNNNNNNNNNNNNNNNNNNNNNNNNNCAUGAUGCUACUAAAAAUUACUAUGAGAGAGUAUCAUAUGCUUCUACUUAUUGAAAUAGUAUCAAGCUUACUCUCCAUGUGUUGAAAUUUUUGAAGCUAUGCUUGUUUUGCCUUCCUAUGCUAGUUGAUUCUUGCUGCAAUAAGUUUUUUGAUCACAAAAUCCCUGUGCAUAGGAAGUGGGUUAGACUUAAAUGUGCUAGCCAUAUGAUCCAUGAUGCUUCCAUUAUGUUUCAAUUGUUAUCUUUUAUGUGAGCAUCAUUGAAAUCAUGAUGCCUAGCUAAGGGCGUUAAACAAUAGCGCUUGUUGGGAGGCACCCCAAUGAAUUUAUUUUUGCUUUUUGCUUUCUGUUUUGUUUUGUACACACCAUCAUAAUUCUUUUAUGAUUGUGUUUUUUGUGUUUUAUUUUGUGUUUGUGCCAAGUAGAACCUUUAUGAUUGGUUUUGGGUGAUAGUUGUUUAAUCAUGCUGAAAAAGACAGAAACUUUCUGCUCACGAAAUUAUUUUUAGUUUCUAUCCAGAAAGUGAAUUUGAGUUUAUUCUUUUUGCUGCUGAUUUAUAUGCAAUUUUUCAUAAUUUUUGGAGGUGCAUAAGUAUGGUUCUCAUUCAGAUCAUUACAGAAUGUUCUGUUUUUGACAGAUUAUGUUUUCAAUACAUAGUUUGCUUGUUUUGGUGUUUCCAUAGAUUAUUUUGAGUAAUAUAAAUUGUGGAAAUAGUAAGAUACAUUAUUCAUUGUGUGAAAAUAAUUAUGAGUCUUGUCUUGACAGUACCCAAGUGAUUGAUUUGCUCGUUAUCAUACUAACCCAUCUCACGAAGUUCCGUUAAGUUUUGUGUUGUGAAGUUUUCACGUUUUGGGUAGAGUUUCCAUGGACUAUGAAACAAGGAGUGGCAAGAGCCUAAGCUUGGGGAUGCGCAAGGCAUCCCAAGACAUAUUCAAGGAUACCAAAAAGCAUAAGCUUUGGGAUGCCCCGGGAAGGCAUCCCCUCUUUCGUCUUCAAUCCAUCGGUAACUUUACUUGGGGCUAUAUUUUUAUUCACCACAUGAUAUGUGUUUUGCUUGGAGCGUCAUUUUAUUUUCUUUGAAUAAGGUACUUAGGAUCUGAAAUUCUUAGUUGGGAGAGUCUCCACAUAGCCAAAUAGUUGUUCAACUACUCAUUGAGCUUCACUUAUAUCUUUUGGAGUAGUUUGUCUUUUGCUCUAGUGCUUCACUUAUAUCUUUGUAUAGCAUUGCAAUGGUUCUAUUUUAUAGAACUAGUUGAACUCUCGUUCUUCACUUAGAUCAUUUUGAGAGUCUUAAACAUCAUGGUACCUUGCUUAGGUUAUGAAUCUAGUCCUAAUACGAUAGGCAUCCAAAGAGGAUAAAAACCUUCAUAUUCAUGUGCAUUGAUUAGUAAGAGAAGUUUGAUUCCUCUCAAUUGGUUUUGAGAUAUGGAUAUGGUAAUAUUAGAGUUAUGCUAGUAGGGUGUUGUGAAUCUAGAAAUACUUGUGUUGAACUUAGUGAUUCUCGUAGCAUGCACGUAUGGUGAACCGCUAUAUUAGGAAGUCGGAGCAUAAUUGAUUUAUUGUCUGUCAUCCUUUGUGUGGCGGUCGGGAUCGCGUGAUGGUUAACACCUACUAACCCUUCCCCUAGGAGUAUGCGUUUAGCACUUUGUUUUGAUUACUAAUAAAAACUUUUGCAAUAAGUAUAUGAGUUCUUCAUGACUAAUGUGAGUCCAUGGUAUAGAUGCACUUUCACCUUCCACCAUUGCUAGCCUCUCUAGUGCCGCGCAACUUCCGCGGGUGCACAAACCCACCAUAUACCUUCCUCAAAACAGCCACCAUACCUACCUAUUAUGGCAUUUUCAUAGCCAUUCCGAGAUAUGUUGGCAUGCAACUCCCACCGUUCCGUCUCAUGACUUGUGCCGUCACUUUCAUAUUGCCAAUGCAUGAUCGUAAGAUAGCUAGCGAGAUGUUUCAACGUCAUACGCUAAGCUAGAUCGUUGCACAAUCCGGUACACUGCCGGAGGCAUUUCAUAUAGAUUCAUCAUUGCUCUAAGUAUUGAGUUGUGAGUAAAUAAAAGUGUGAUGAUCAUCAUUAUUAGAGUAUUUUCCCAUGUGAGGAAAUAAAAAAAGAGGCCAAAGAUGCCCACCAAAAAAAUGAAAAGAGGCCAAAGAGCCCAAACAAAAAAAGAGAGAAAAAGAGAGAAGGGACAAUGCUACUAUCUUUUUCCACACUUGUGCUUCAAAAAGCACCAUGUUCUUCAUGAUGGAGAGUCUCUUGUUUUGACACUUCCAUAUACUAGUGGGAAUUUUCAUUAUAUAACUUGGCUUGUAUAUUCCAAUGAUGGGCUUCCUCAAAAUUGCCCUAGGUCUUCGUGAGCAAGCAAGUUGGGUGCACACCCACUAGUUAUCCUUUUGAGCUUUCACACACUUAUAGCUCUUGUGCAUCCGUUGCUUGGCAAUACCUACUCAUUCACAUUGAUAUCUAUUGAUGGGCAUCUUCAUAGCCCAUUGAUACGCCCAGUCAAUGUGACCAUCUCCUCCUUUUUGCCUCACAACCCCCACCACACUCUAUUCCACCUAUAGUGUUAUAUCCAUGGCUCACACUCAUGUAUUGUGUGAGAGUUGAAAAAAGUUUGAGAAAGUAAGAGUGCAAAAACAAUUAUUUGGCCAAUACCGGGGUUGUGCAUGAUUUAAAUUCGUUGUGUGGGGAUGAUGGAGCAUAGCCACACUAUAUGAUUUUGUAGGGGUAACUUUCUUUGGCCUUGUUAUUUCGAAAGUUCAUGAUUACCUUGCUAGUUUGAUUGAAGUAUUAUUGUUUUCAUGUCAAUAGUAAACUAUUGUUUUGAAUAUGAACAUUCAUGCCACAAGAAAGAAAUUACAAAGGACAAAUAUGUUAGGUAGCAUUCCACAUCAAAAGUUCGGUCUUUAUCACUUCCCUACUCGAGGACGAGCAGGAGUUAAGCUUGGGGAUGCUUGAUACGUCUCCAACGUAUCUAUAAUUUUUUAUGGUUCCACGCUAUUAUCUUGUAAACCUUGGAUGUUUUAUAUGCAUGAAUAUGCUAUUUUAUAUCUUUUUUGGGACUAACCUAUUAACUUAGUGCCAAGUGUCAGUUUCUGUUUUUUCCGUGUUUUUGACCCUUUUUCAGACGGAGUCCAAAUGGAAUAAAACUUUGCGAUGAUUUUUUUUGGACCAAAAGAGACCCCCGAUGCUUUGGAAGAAGGCCAAAAGAGCCACGAGGGAGUCACAAGCCCAUGAGGCACGCCCCCCCCCCCUAGGCCACACCUAGCAGGAUUGUGACCUCCUCGUGGGCCCAACCAACGUAAUUCCACCGCCAUAAAUUCUGGUAAAUUCAGAAACCCCCAAAAAGAAACCUAGAUCGGGAGUUCCGCCACCGCAAGCCUCUGUAGCCACCAAAAACCAAUCUGGAGCCCGUUCCGGCACCCUGCCGGAGGGGGAAUCCAUCUCCGGUGGCCAUCUUCAUCAUCCCGGCGAUCUCCAUGACGAGGAGGGAGAAGUUCUCCCUCGGGGCUGAGGGUAUGUACGAGUAGCUAUGUGUUUGAUCUCUCUCUCUCUCGUGUUCUUGAGAUGUCUUGAUCUCGAUGUACCACAGGCUUUCCUACUAUAGUUGGAUCUUAUGAUGUUCUUCCCCCUCUCCCUUCUUGUAUUGAAUUGAGUUUCCCCUUUGAAGUUAUCUUAUCGGAUUGAGUCUUUGAGAACACUUGAUGUAUGUCUUGCAUGUUUCUAUCUGUGGUGAUCAACUUGCGGGUUUGUGAUAUUGGGAACCUAUGCAUAUGUGUUGGCACACGUUUGGAUAUUCAUGUGAGUACUCGAUGUAUGUUUUGGUGAUCAACUUGCGGGUUUCGUGACAUUAGGACCCUAUGCAUAUGGGUUGGCACACAUUUUGACUCUCCGGUAGAAACUUCGGGGCACUCUUUGAAGUUCUAUGUGUUGGUUGAAUAGAUGCUUCUGAGAUUGUGUGAUGCAUAUCGUAUAAUCAUGCCCACGGAUACUUGAGGUGACAAUGGAGUAUCUAGGUGACAUUAGGGUCUUGGUUGAUAUGUAUCUUAAGGUAUUACUCUAGUACGAAGUCUAUGAAAGAUUGAACGGAAAGAAUACCUUCAUGCUAUUUUACUACAGACUCUUGAAUAGAUCGAUCAGAAAGAAUAACUUUGUGGUGGUUUCGUACCCAACUAUAAUCUCUUCGUUUGUUCUCCGCUAUUAGUAACUUUGGAGUGACUCUUUGUUGCAUGUUGAGGGCUAGUUAUAUGAUCCAAUUAUGUUAUCAUUGUUGAGAGAACUUCACUAGUGAAAGUAUGAACCCUAGGCCUUGUUUCCACGCAUUGCAAUACUGUUCGUGCUCACUUUUACUACUAGUUACCUUGCUGUUUUUGUAAUUUCAGAUUACAAAAACCUAUAUCCACCAUCCAUAUUGCACUUGUAUCACCAUCUCUUCGCCGAACUAGUGCACCUAUACAACUUACCAUUGUAUUGGGUGUGUUCGGGACACAAGAGACUCUUUGUUAUUUGGUUGCAGGGUUGCUUGAGAGAGACCAUAUUCAUCCUACGCCUCCCGCGGAUUGAUAAACCUUAGGUCACCUACUUGAGGGAAAAUUGCUACUGUCCUACAACCCUCUGCACUUGGAGGCCCAAAAACGUCUACAAGGAGAAGGUUGCGUAGUAGACAUCAGCCCGCGGGCCAGGACCCGCUCCUCGAAGCCGGCCAACCACUAUUGGAAAUAUGCCCUAGAGGCAAUAAUAAAAUGGCUUUAUCAUAUUUCCUUGUACAUGAUAAUCGUCUAUUGUUCAUGCUAUAAUUGUAUUAACAGGAAAUAGUAAUACAUGUGUGAAUAAAUAGAUCACAAUGUGUCCCUAGCAAGCCUCUAGUUGGCUAGCUCGUUGAUCAAUAGAUGAUCAUGGUUUCGUGAUCAUGGGCAUUAGAUGUCAUUGAUAACGAGAGCACAUCAUUGAGAGAAUGACGUGAUGGACAAGACCCAAUCCUAAGUAAAGCACUAGAUCGUAUUGUUCGUAUGCUAAAUAUUUUCUAAUGUCAAGUGUCUUUUCCUUCGACCGUGAGAUUGUGCAACUCCCGGAUACCGUAGGAGUGCUUUGGGUGUAUCAAAUGUCACAACGUAACUGCGUGACUAUAAAGGUGCACUACGGGUACCUCUGAAAGUGUCUGUUGGGUUGGUACGAAUCAAGAGUGGGAUUUGUCACUCCGUGUGACGGAGAGGUAUCUCUGGGCCCACUCGGUAAUACAACAUCACACACAAGCCUUGCAAGCAAUGUAACUUAGUGUAAGUUGCGGGAUAUUGUAUUACGGAACGAGUAAAGAGACUUACCGGUGACGAGAUUGAACAAGGUAUAGGUAUACCGACGAUCGAAUCUCGGGCAAGUAACAUACCGAAGGACAAAGGGAAUGACAUACGGGAUUAUACGAAUCCUUGGCACUGAGGUUCAAACGAUGAGCUCAACGUGACUAAGGAGUUGGUCACACAAUGACGUGCUACGGAACGAGUAAAGAGACUUACCGGUGACGAGAUUGAACAAGGUAUAGGUAUACCGACGAUCGAAUCUCGGGCAAGUUCUAUACCGACAGACAAAGGGAAUUAUAUACGGGAUUGAUUGAAUCCUUGACAUCGUGGUUCAUCCGAUGAGAUCAUCGUGGAGCAAGUGGGGCCCACCAUGCGUAGAUUCUAUGCACGAGAGAACACAAAAGGUUGUGGGCGAUUAUUUGUCAAUUGCUUGCUGCUACUAAUCUUAUUCUUUUCCGGCGGUAUUGUGGGAUGAAGCGGCCCGGACCGACCUUACACGUACGCUUACAUGAGACUGGUUCCACCGACAGACAUGCACACCAUGCAUAAAGGUGGCUAGCGGGUGUCUGUCUCUCCUACUCUAGUCGGAUUGGAUUUGAUGAAAAGGGUCCUUAUGAAGGGUAAAUAGCUUUGGAAUAUCAUCGUUGUGGCUAUCACGUAGGUAAGAAGGCAUUCUUGCUAGAAACCCAAAUCAGCCACGUAAAACUUGCAACAACAAUUAGAGGACGUCUAACUUGUUUUUGCAGGGUUUGACAUGUGAUGUGAUAUGGCCAAAGUUGUGAUGUUGCAUGUAUGAUGUAUGAGAUGAUCAUGUUAUUCUAAUAGGUUUCACGACUUGCAUGUCGAUGAGUAUGAAAACCGGCAGGAGCCAUACGAGUUGUCUUAAUUUAUUGUAUGAGAUGCAACGCCAUGUGCUUACUACUUUUACUUCAUUGCUAACGGUUAGCUAUAGUAGAAGUGAUAGUAGUAGUUCGCGUGACGACUUCACGGAGACACGAUGAUGGAGAUCAUGAUGAUGGAGAUCAUGGUGUCACGCCGGUGACAAUGAUGAUCAUGCGAUGCCUGAAGAUGGAGAUCGAAAGAGCAAAGAUGAUAAUGGCCAUAUCAUGUCCCUAUAUGAUUGCAUUGUGAUGUUUAUCAUGUUUUUCAUCUUAUUGCUUAGAACGACGGUAGCAUAAUAAGAUGAUCCCUCUUCAAAUUUCGAGAACGUAUUCCCUAAGUGUGCACCGUUGCGAAGGAUCGUUGUCUCGAAGCACCACGUGAAGAUCGGGUGUGAUAGAUUCUAACAUUCGCAUACAAUGGGUGUAAGCCAGAUUUACACACGUGAAACACCUAGGUUGACUCGACGAGCUUAGCAUGUACAGACAUGACCUCGAAUACAAGAGAUCGAAAGGUCGAACAUGAGACGUAUGGUUGAAUACGAUCAGCAUGAAGUUGCUCGCCAUGAUGACUAGUCCGUCUCACGUGAUGAUCGGACACGGGUUAGUCAAAAUGGAUCAUGUAUCACUUAGAUGACUAGAGGGAUGUCGAUUUAAGUGGGAGUUCAUACUUAAUUUGAUUAAAUGAACUUAAUUGUCAUGAACUUAGUCUAAAAGUUGUCUUUAUAAAUAUUGUAGAUGGCCAACGUCAACCUCAAUUUCAACGCAUUCCUAGAGAAAAACAAGUUGAAAGAUGAUGGUAGCAACUAUGCGGACUGGGUUCGCAACUUGAAACUCAUCCUUGAAGCGGCUAAAAAGGCUUAUGUCCUUGAUGCGCCUCUAGGUGACCCUCCCGCUCCCGCAGCAGCCCAGGACAUUCUGAACGUCUGGCAAACGUGGAGUGAUGACUACUCUCUGGUUAGGUGUGGCAUGUUAUACAGUUUGGAAACGGGGCUCCAAAGGCGUUUUGAGCAACACGGUGCAUAUGAGAUGUUCCAAGAGCUGAAACUGGUUUUUCAAGCUCAUGCCCGUGUCGAGAGAUAUGAAGUCUGUGACAAGUUCUUUAGCUGUAAGAUGGAGGAGAACAGUUCUGUCAGUGAGCACAUACUCAAAAUGUCUAGGUUACACGGUCAUCUAACUUCACUUGGAGUCGAACUUCCGGAUGAUGCUAUAAUUGACAGAAUCCUCCAGUCUCUCCCACCAAGCUACAAAGGUUUUGUGGUGAACUACAACAUGCAAGGGAUAGAGAAAACCAUUCCCGAGUUGUACUCGAUGCUCAAGUCUGCAGAAGUAGAAAUCAAGAAAGAGCAUCAAGUGUUGAUGGUCAACAAGACCACUAGUUUCGAGAAGGGCAAGGGGUAAGAAGAACUUCAAGAAAGACGGCAAAGCCGUUGCCGCGCCCGGUAAUCCAGAUGUGCAAAUCUCGGAUACCGUAGGAGUGCUUUGGGUGUAUCAAAUGUCACAACGUAACUGGGUGACUAUAAAGGUGCACUACGGGUACCUCUGAAAGUGUUUGUUGGGUUGGUACGAAUCAAGAGCGGGAUUUGUCACUCCGUGUGACGGAGAGGUAUCUUUGGGCCCACUCGGUAGAACAUCAUCAUGAGCUCAAUGUGUCUAAGGAGUUGGUCACACGAUGACGUGCUACGGAACGAGUAAAGAGACUUACCGGUAACGAGAUUGAACAAGGUAUAGGUAUACCGACGAUCGAAUCUCGGGCAAGUUCUAUACCGACAGACACAGGGAAUUGUAUAUGGGAUUGAUUGAAUCCUUGACAUCGUGGUUCAUCCGAUGAGAUAAUCGUGGAACGUGUGGGAGCCACCAUGGGUAUCCAUAUCCCACUGAUGGUUAUUGGUCGGAGAACAUCUCGGUCAUGUCUGCAUGCUUCCCGAACCCGUAGGGUCUACACACUUAAGGUUCGAUGAUGCUAGGGUUAUAGGGAAAUGUUAUACGAGGUUACCGGAAGUUGUUCGGAGUCCCAGAUGAGAUCCCGGACAUCACGAGGAGCUCUAGAAUGGUCCGAAGGUAAAGAUUGAUAUAUAUGAUGGAUGGUUUUGGACACCAGAAAUGUUUCGGGCGUCACCGAUAGCGUACCGGGACCACCGGGACCAUCGGAAAUGGUCUGGGGGGGUCCACCGGGAGGGGCCACCAGGCCCAAGAGGUAGCAUGGACCAAAAGGGGGAGGGCAACCAGUCCAAAGUGGGUUGGUGCGCCUCCCACAAGAGGCCCAAGGCGCAGGAGGGAGAGAAGGGGGAACCCUGGCGCUGGUGGGCCUAAGGCCCACCUAAGGGGUGCGCCACCCCCUCCCCCUGCCCUAGCCGCCGCACCUCCCAUCUAGAGGGCUGCCGCACCACCUAGGGGGGAAACCCUAGGGGUAGCACCCCCUCCCCUCCUCCUAUAAAUAGAGAGGGGUUUGGGGCUGUUUUCUACAUGGUUUUCUCUCCUCUCGGCGCAGCCCUGCUNNNNNNNNNNNNNNNNNNNNNNNNNNNNNNNNNNNNNNNNCUCUUUCCUCCUCCUCCCACGGUGCUUGGCGAAGCCCUGCCGGGAGACCUCGUCUCUCCAUCGACACCACGUCGUCGUGCUGCCGGAGAUCUUCCCCAACCUCUCCCUCCUCCUUGCUGGAUCAAGGUGCGGGAGACUUCACCGGGCUGCAUAUGUGUUGAACGCGGAGGUGUCGUGGUUCGGCAUUAGAUCGGAAUCACACCGCGAUCUGAAUCGCCGCGAGUACGACUCCAUCAACCGCGUUCUAGCAACGCUUCCGCUUAGCGAUCUUGAAAGGUAUGAAGAUGCACUCACCCCUCUCUCGUUGCUGGUCUCUCCAUAGGAAGAUCUGAAUAUGCGUAGGAAAUUUUUUGAAUUUAUGCUACAUUACCCAACAACCACGAGCGUCGUCCAACGUCACGUUCCGUUAGCCAUCCUCCCCUGCGAAGUCCCCGGGGACAGUGACUGGCACUCUCUGGCAAUAGCUAGACGAAUGUUGAUUUUGUGACAACCACCCUUCCCAUGCAACGGCACCAGAAGAAUGCUGCUAGCACUCCCCGACAACGAAACUAGAAGAAUGUUGUUGAUGGCCCACCAGCGCGUGGGUUCGCAGCAGUUUUCGAGGGUAGAGUAUUCGACCCAAAUUUGUUGAUCGCCAAACAGGAGGUGAGAGAAUACUCUCGAGUAUUAGCAGUUGAAUGUGUCAGAUUCAACCACACCUGAAAGAUUAGUAUCUGCAAGCAAACUAGUAACAGCAAAGUAGUAUGAUAACAACGGUGUCAGAAACGAUCUGUUGACACGGCAGACUAUUUCUAACGAUUGUAUCAAUGGCGCCAAGUUGCCUCGUUGACGGAAAUUGUCUCUUCCCGUCAACGACCAACGAAUCAAGAUUGUAGCAGGUAGCAGCAGUGUAACGAGUAACGGCAGUGGCAAGGAACAACAGUAGUGACAGCAGCAGCAGAGCAAGACAAGUAACAACAGCAGUAGGACAAACUCGUAGGCAAUGGGUCGGUGAUUUGUUUGGAUGAUAUUCAUCAUGCAACAGUUAUAACACGGAGAGAUAUGUGGCUAGCUCCCGUUCGUCAACGUGAUGUAGGCAUGCCUUCCGUGUGUCGUCAUCCCUGCUUAGGGAAAAGAACUUGCAUGACAUCUAUUGUCCAUCCCUCCCGUGGCAGCAGGGUCCAAAAGGAAAUUACGGGAUAUUAAGGUUCUCCUUUUAAUAAAGAACCGGACCAACGCAUUAGCACUUGGUGAACACAUGAACUCCUCAAACUAUGGUCAUCACCGGGAGUGGUUCCGGCUAUUGUCACUCCGGGGUUGCCGGAUCAUAACACAUAGUAGGUAACUACUCCUUGCAAGAUCGGAUCUAAAACACACAUAUAUUGGUGACAACAUAAUAAUUUCAUAUCUGAAAUCAUGGCACUCGGGCCCUAGUGACAAGCAUUAAGCAUGGCAAAGUAGUAGCAACAUCAAUCUCAGAACAUAAUGGAUACUAGGGAUCAAUCCCCAUCAAAACUAACUCGAUUACAUGAUAGAUCUCAUCCUACUCAGCACCGCCCAUUGAGCCUACGAAUAGAUUACUCAUGAACGACGAAGAGCUUCAUGGAAUUGGAGAGGGAAGAAGGUUGAUGAUGACGAUGGCGACGAUUUCCCCUCUCCGGAGCCCAAAACGGACUCCAGAUCUGCCCUCCAGAUGAAGAACGGGAUGUGGCGACGCCUCCGUCUCGCAAACGUGAUGAAAUCUUCACUUUUUAUUUUGGGAUAUUUAAAUUAGUGCCCUUGGUUCCUUAGUUGUGCUCACUUUUCCCCACGCUCCAAACGUUUGCUCACUUUUCCCCUCUUCCUUAGCUGAAACUCUCACAAAUGCUCAUAGCGGCCGUUUGUUGUCUUGACCGUCCAUCGACCGUUAAUUGCUGACGAGUGGGGCCGAGUCUUCGGCUGACUGUUGCUUGCUGACGGGUGGGACCGCAAGGAGACACGUAUUGGGCAGCUUGUCUGAAUCUGAAACAUAUCUAGACAAGCCGCGCUGCACCGCGCCGCCCCGCCUCCUCCGCCGGCGUCGUGUCGCGUCCACCACAGUUGUUUCCUCCAUCCUAUGCCCCUAUUCCAUUCGUCGGCGACGUCGCGUCUCCGCCAGAUAUAGCCCACCUCCCCAUCUAGGAUUACAUGGCGAUGUUGAGUGAGGACGCCCGGAAUGCAGUCGUCCGUGGAGAGGAUUGGGUCGAAUCCGCGGCAGAUAAUUCAUGGAUUAAACCUGGGUAAGCAUUGUUUCUCUCGACUUGACGUUCUAAGUCGUAUUGUAGGCCGUAUUUGACUUCUGUUUGCUUGAAUCGUUCGAAUUUGUGCUCGAUUUUACCCGGCUAACUGAAGCCUUUAUUUCCUUCAACAAAAUAGGAUUGAUCCCGCGCUCGCUUUCCGGCUGGCGAUUAGAAUGGAAACUAGUGUGCUGCGUGGUACUGAACCGCAUUUGAUUUCAUCAUUUUUCUAUCCCAAAGUGGUAGAAACCAGCAUAUCUUUCAAAGAUUUGCAAGCUGAGCUAAGAAACACCUAUCCCUAGAGUGAUGCCGAUGAUGUUGAACUGAAUUACUUCAGCAGUGACGAGCAAAGAUUUCUCCCACUAACUUGUGACGAUCAUAUGCCAUUGCUUUUUGCUGGGAUUGCUGGUUGCCGAUUCGGUAAACUCCAAAUCGAUGUGCUUCAGCCACGCGUAGAACAGGUGAAGAGGAAGGGAGUUCAGACAUCAUCUGUCUGUGCUAAUAGCCAGCACCCCGGCACUCAUUGUAGGUCGACACCAAGUAAAGCAAGUGGUUCAUGGAGCCACAACAUGCCUGCUGCCAAUUGUGGUUCCGAUUCAGCUGCUGCUUCCCGUGUAUCUUUUGCAGUUGGUGUAGAAGAGGAUGCAGGACCUGACGAGGCAGUGCCUACAAAUGAUGAUGAAGACGAGAUGAUGUUUCCUGAACUGGUUGAUGUAGCCAGUCAGCAAGCAGUGGAUGACGAAUAUAUGGAGGAGCCCAUCAGCCAAGCUAGGUUUGAUGACACUGACGAUGAAGAGAAGGUGGAGAACAUGGACAGCUUAAUCGAGGAUGAAUACGAUGGUGAUGACAUGCCAACAAUUGAGUGGAACAGGGAAAAACCUGAGCUUAGUGUAGGUACCAUUUUCCAAUCAAUGGUGGACUGUCGGAAUGCAGUGACAACAUGGUGCAUUAUAUCUGAAAACACCUAUAAGAUUAAAAGGAGUGAGCCAUCAAGGUUCACAGUUUUUUGUCCAUAUCCUAGGUGUAGGUGGAAGUUGCAUGCAUCUCGUAUGAGAAAGAGCAAAUAUAUUCAGGUAAUCGAAGUUCAGUUAGUAAUUUAGUUUCAGAUUGUUGAGUAAGGUUUCUUAACUAUUUUUUAUCCUUUUAUUUUGUUUCAGAUAAAGAAAAACCCACACAAGCACACCUGUCCACCUGGAGGGGGAGGGGGGAAGGCCAAAACCAAGCUAGCAAAAACUAGGUGGGUGGCAGAUGCUAUAUUGGAUUGGCUGAGAGAAGAACCUGGACUUGGUCCAACAGCACUCCAUGGGAAGCUUUUUGAGAAGUACAAGGUAGAAAUUCCUUACAUGAGAAUUUUCAAUGCUAGGGAAAAGGCUCUUGACAGAAUUAAUGGUCAAUGGAAUGACAGUUUUCAGCUGCUUUACACUUUCAAAGCUGAAGUGGAGAUGGCAAGUCCAGGGAGUGUAGUAGAGAUUGACAAGCAUACAGUUCAAUUCAAAAUAAAAGGGAAGUAAUUUCAGAAGGAGUGCUUCAGAAGGGCUUUUGUUUGUUUCAAGGCUUGCUGGCAGGGGUUUCUAGAUGGUUGCAGGCCCUAUUUGGCUGUAGAUGCUACACAUUUGACUGGAAGAUGGAGAGCACAGCUAGUAGCAGCUUCUGCAGUUGAUGGACACAACUGGCUAUUCCCAGUUGCAUUUGGUGUGGUGGAGGAAGAGUCUGAGGAAAGUUGGGUCUGGUUUCUGCAGCAGUUGCGCAACAUUAUAGGCACACCCCCAGGUUUGGCUAUACACACAGAUGCUUGCAAGGGUUUAGAGAGUGUAGUGGAAAUUGUAUUCCCUGGAGUGGAGCAUAGGGAAUGUAUGCGACACCUAGCGCAUAAUUUCAAAAAGAAGUUCAAAGGUAAAGUUUAUGAUGAGAACUUAUGGCCAGCAUCAUACACAUGCAGCAAAAGGAAGCAUGAACACCAUUUGAGAGUGUUGUAUGCUAAAAAUCCUCUUGUGAAGGAGUACAUGGAUGCACAUCAUGGUAAGGUGUGGUCAAGAAGCAAAUUCAACGAAAUCUGCAAAGUAGAUUAUGUGACCAGUAACCUAGCAGAGUGCUUCAAUUCAAAGUUCAAGUCAGUGAAAGGGCUCUUGUUGUGGCAAGCAUUUGACAAGAUGAGGCAAAUGAUCAUGAUAAAGAUGGUUCUUCGCAAAAGAAUUGCAGAAACACAAUAUGUUGGUCAUCAAAUGCUCCCAUCACUGAUUAAGGCAUUGCACUUGAAGGCAAGAGGCCUGAAGAUGAAAUGUAUUCGAUCUGGUACAUAUGAGGGAGAGGUUACCUAUACUGACACUAAAAAUAGGGUAUGGAGGUAUCCUGUGAACCUAAGUACUAGAGAAUGUACUUGUAGGCAAUGGCAGAUCCGUGGGAAGCCAUGCAUACACGCCCUACAUCUGAUGACCGUUAUCGGGGGUGCAGAUGGUGAAGUUGAUCAAUAUUGCUCUAAGUAUUUCUCUGUUGCCAAAUUUAUGGCUGCUUAUGCUGACAAUGUGCCUGCACUAUUGGGGAAAGAUCAAUGGAACAUAGUAGAUCCAGGGUUCAAAAUCCACGCUCCUGUCAUUACUAGACCACCAGGAAGACCAAGGAACCAGAGGAUUAGAGCAGGUGAGGAGGGUCGUCCACCAAAGAAGCGUGCUUGCAAAAAGUGUGGAGUUCUGGGGCAUAUUGCUAGGCUUUGUACCAAUGCAGUGGAUGCAUCAUUUGGAGAGCAGGAAAGAUGGACAUCAGCCAAUGCUGAGGAGAAUGCAACAGCAAUGGAGAUUGAAGAUGCAGUGGAGAAUGCAGCAGCAAUGGAGAUUGAAGAUGCAGUGGAGAAUGCAGCAGCAAAUGAAGCAGAAGAUUUUGAAACCAUGGCCUUUGAUGGUUUUGAAGCUAUAAGAGAGGAAGAGGAGGGGGUAAUUGUUCCAAUUGUGCCUUUAAAGAUUACUGAACCCAUAGAUGACCGUCAAAUGGUCGUCAAGUGCUCGGCGAGUGGAACUACUCCAUCAGCACCUCCACGGGGAAAACACCAAGUAAAGCCCAAGAUCAAAAGGAACAAGAGUCUGAAAGAAAAGAGCAUCUCAACUAGGGAAACCAGGAGCAAGACGGUGAAGCCAGCUGCAAACACAAGGAGCAAGUCAAAAAUUUGAAUUAAGUUGUUGGAAAAUGUUUGUGUUGUCAAUUUGAGGGCGAGUCGAUCGCUUAAAACUUGGUAGAUUUGUAUUAAGAUGUUGGCAUCUUAAAACUUGGUAGCUUUGAGCUACUGUAAUAAUGUUGGCAUCAGUUGUAAUAAUGUUGGCAUCAGUUGUAAUAAUGUUGCUUCUACUUUGGUUCCUUAUUUGAGUCAAAAUUCAAAUUUCCAUCAAAAUUUGAAUUUGGGCCAAAAUUUGGAUUCGAGCCAAAGUUGAAGUUGAACAUUGGAGGUUCAUUGCUCUGUGCGGUGUAUUUGAUCGAGCAUUUCAAGUCCAAUGUUCUUAGGUGAACAGUCCGAAUGAGAAAUGUGCUAGAAACGAGCUCGAAAGCUAGGGUAAACAACCCUGUUUGAAAUCAAGUUUUUUUACCUUCCCUAAAUGAGACAUAUAUAUUUUUAUUAACACUUGUUCCAUAUAUAUAGGGUAAAAACGAAGUCUCACUAUUUAUUGAUUAAUAUUCAUAUUACUACAUUUUUUUGAAAAAAUAUGCUUUUAAUUCAAAACCAUCAAAUAACACGUUUUAGAUAUGAAAAUGAAAAAGUAAGUUCAAAUCCUUCUUAUUCACUCCAAAAUGAAGCUAUGGAGAUUUUUCUGAUUUUUUUUGAAUUAUUUUAAUUUUUUUUCAAAUCCUAAACCCUCUCUCCCUAUUCUACGAACUAUGAAAAUGUUCAUAGGUGAUAGCUCAUUUUUGUGAAGGCUUUUUUCAUGAAAAUGACCUACACCAAGUUUAUAUUUUUUUCUCAUAACCUUGUCACAUAUGACGGCUAUGUGCGCAAGAAUUACAACAUUUUGAUUUUUUUUGAAUUUUUUAAAAACAUUUGAACUUGAUUUCGACAGGUCACUUCAAAAAAUGACUUUUCAAAAAAACGCCCCUAUACCGAGUUUAUAUAUUUUUAUGGUAACUAGGUCUCAUAAACAGACGAACUACAUUUGUUUUAUAUUUUUGCGAUUUUUUCUAAUUUAGUUAUGGCCAUUUGAAAUCUGGUCAAACCCUAAUAACCCCGUUGACUCGCUCAUAACCCCGCAGAAAUGCUCCAAACCCUAGCGUCGAACGUCCGCCGUCGGAUCAUACCCUAGCGCCAAACACCACCCGUCAGAUGUGGGCAGGCANNNNNNNNNNNNNNNNNNNNNNNNNNNNNNNNNNNNNNNNNNNNNNNNNNNGAUCUGCGUGAUGCAUCGUGAUUGGCUACUGCACUGUCCUUCUCGGGUUUUUACGAUCUGCCUCACUUUACAUACGAAAUUGUAUUUUUCGCACAUGACUACCACAUGUCAGUGUUAAGAGUUGGUUCAAAUAUUCAAACUGCAAAAUACAAUGUGGCAAAUCGUCAAUAUAGCUUCCCCUUCUCCUCUUCUCCAUGUGACAGACAAAGGCAUCGAGCAGAUCGAGCAAUUCCUCUGUUUCUUUCCCCAUCUUCUCGUUCUUCUUCCUCUCGACCAAUUCCUCUGUUUUUUCCUCUCGGGCGAUAUGUCGACCUCCUCGUCAGUCCCCGUUCCACGUGGCCGGUGUAUAGUCCAGUGCCGAUGACUCGAUGCACUGACUGCCCACGGAUUGCGCCACUGAAGCGGUUGACUUCGAAGGAGGAGAAGAAUGGGAACUUUGGGCGCGAGUUCGUCAAAUGCGAGAGCAAGCCGGAGGGGCAGGUUAGAUCUGAGUUUUCCUCGCAUCCUUUAUCUCUGUCAGAUUUGGAUUUAGGUUACAUGAUUUCAUUUUCAGAUCAUGAAGAAAUGCCACCAUUUCGAGUGGAUGGAUGAUUACACCCACAGGCUUCAAGGGUUGGGCUUGCUGGAUUCGAGGGGGAUGCAAUCCGCGAGUUCAAUCUGCCCCAUGACAGUGCCGCUCCAGCAGCAGCAGCGCGUCCGGAAUACCCGACGGUGGUAGAUGUCGAACUGAAUACGGAAUUGAAGAAGAUGAACAAGAACUUCAAGCAGCUGCUUGAGUUGAAGAAUCAAUCCAAUCUGAUAGCUUUAGGAAUACUUGCUCUAGGAAUUUUUUACUUGAUGGCCAUCUCUCAUUAGAGAUGUUUGUCUACUGUUGUUGCCACUGUUUAGCAAUCCUCGUCUGUUUAUCUCAAAUGCAACUCUGUUUAGUGCAACUGUCGAUCUCUGAAUGUAUGCAGUUUACUAUUAAGUUUUGACACUUUCAGUUUCGACAGAAGACAACUACCAGUUCAGUGAUAGGAUUAUUUUGUUAGCUAAUAACCUCGAGUGUUGGGUCAUACCCUAGCUCGUCAGAUGACAGUAAGCAGUACUUGAGCAGCACGAGGGAUAUACAUCAAGUUCAUCUCUUCUCUCUCGUACUUGCCAAACUUUUGUCCUCGAGUUCGUCAGUUCUGCUAGAAAAAAAAACCUAGUUUGCGGGCCCAAAGAGAAUCAAGCCGCAAUAGGCCCACAAAGGAUAAAUGAGGCCCAGAAACAAGUGAUGUUUCUUUUUUUGUUUAGGAACGAUUGCUUUGUUCUUUUUUGUUUUUGAUUGCUUUUUUCAUUAAUUUGAUUGCCCAAUCUCUUGUAUCUCAUUGAGGAAUUUUUUGGCUUUCCUUUAUGGGUCCCUUCAUUUAUCCUUUUGACUAAAGCCAAACAUCUCAAAGUGUAGUUUUCUACAUAGUGUAAUUUAUACUUCAUGAUUGGAAAAAGAGGUCCAACCAUACUUCAAACAUAGUGUAGUUUUCUACAUAUUAAAGUAGGGAUUAAAGUAUAUAAAACUACACUUUUGACUAAAGCCAAACAUCUCAAAGUAUUUGAUACUUCAAUAUUUCUGAAAACCAAAGUAUUCUUUGAAUACCUAAAAAAUACAGAGCUCAGCAAACCAAAGUCGUGUACAAAUGUACAAUAUGUUCUUAUUUUUAGAAGGCAUCUAUAAACACAUCAUUUUUAGUUAGUUUGGUUAAUUUUUCCCACGCCAAUUAGCCGCGUCUAAACUUGGGACAAACAAAAUACAAACAUAACAAAGCAUUAAUAUAACACACAGAACUUAACUUAGAUAGGGUUGCUAGGGCAACAUAAGUUCUUGGGACAUAUAACACGACACCAAUUUCUUACAUAGAUAAUAAUAAUUAGGGUAGCUAGGUCGGGCAACACACACACCAAACUAAUACUACAUACUAGAUAGGGUAGCUAGGGCAACACCGCCAUGUCUUCACCGUCGUCUUCACCUUAACCGCCGGCUUCACCGUCUUCUUCGCCGCCGGCUUCCGUACUCCUCCUCCUCAAGGCCGUUGUCGCCGAGGUAGUACGGGAGGCUGUGUAUGCGAUCGCAAGCGGGGAAGAUGCUCUCGAAGUCGGUGAAGAUGUUAUAGGUGGUGAAUGCGAUGAACUCGCACCCACACCAAUACACCUUGCCGAGCAUGUGGUAGGCAUCGAACCUGUUGGUGAAGUGGACGACGAGCCCUACCGGUGGAGCGUUGGCGUGGGGACGCUGCUCCACGAGGUUGAACAUGGGCGGCGAGCCCGCGGGGAGGUGGUGGAAACCCGCACGAAGGAACCCCCGUGCAAGCUCAGUGCUACCCCUCCAGCGUGAGAACGCCCACACGCGAAGCGAUUCCUCGACGACGACGUUGGCGGGGUACCGCCGUUCCGGCACGGUGGGAGGCUCUUGGAACAUUGGGCCGUAGAACUGCAUCUUGAACGCUUCGCUGAGUGGAACNNNNNNNNNNNNNNNNNNNNNNNNNNNNNNNNNNNNNNCGCUCUGGCUUUUGGGGGAAGAAGAGAAGUGGGAGGCGCAGAUGGAUCUGUAGAAGAAGAGGCAACGAAGGGCAGUUUAAAUAGCCGGGGGAGACGAAGUGGGUACACGCGCAAAUGGCGUAGAUCGUGACUCAGUGCUGCUGUGUGAACCGAUGCGAUCAUCAGUGUGUGAACGUGAAUCGAAGCGAGCGUGCUCUGCGUUGGCGGCUCUCUGUGCUCUGCGUUGGCGGCUGCCUCCCCCUGCUGCGUUGGCGGCUGCCUGCCUCCCCCUUCUGCGUGCUCUGCGUUGGCGGCUGCCCCUUCUGCAUGCCCCUUCUGCCACCAGCACAACUGAAUCGAGCGGCAGCCGUGCGGCGUGAACUGAUGCCUUGACAUAUGGACGCGAGCGUGUGAGCGUGCGUGCAGCCUGCCCCUUCUGCCACCGGCACAUAUGCCUGUGACGCGUGAAACGACGUUGCGGAGUGACUGAAUCCACUGGCAACCGUGCGGCACGGAUCGAUGCGUGCGUGUCGGCGUGCAUGCAUGCGUUUAGGUCUAGGUCACUAGAUGCGUGCGUGGCGGUGUUCGCAUGCAUAGCAGGCUACAUCGAUGCCAAAGACGGGCAUGCAUAGCAGGCUGCAUCCAUCGAUAGUAGGCUUUUUUAAUUUAUUACCAACAAACUAACGGGCCCGUCCUAUGAACACAAACACGGCCCAACCAACGAAGCCACAGCCACACUCAACAGAGUACAACAUGGCCCCACAACGGCCAAGACGGCAAACGCCUGUUAUCAACAUUUGUGAGAGUUUCAGCUAAGGGAGAGGGGAAAAGCGAGCAAAAUUUUGAAGCGUGGGGAAAACUGAGCACAACUAAGGAAUUGGGGGCACAGAUGGAAUAAUCCCUUCUAUUUUUUCUGGGAUGAAAGUGAACUUAUAGAGCUGAGAUUGGGGGCGGCAGAGCCGUGUGGGCCCCACAAGCUUGCCCACCGCCACCAGGGGGUGGCAGAGGCAGGGCUUGUGGCCCACUGGCCCACCCCCUCACGUGGAUCUUGGCGCAGGUAUUUUUUCAUAUUUUCCAAAAAUGUUCCCUGUAAAUUUUCAGGACGUUUGGAGAACUUUGAUUUCUGCACAAAAAUAACACCAAGGCAAUUCUGCUGAAAACAGCGUCAGUCUAGGUUAGUUCCAUUCAAAUCAUGCAAAUUCGAGUCCAGAACAAGGGCAAAAGAGUUUGGAAAAGUAGAUACGAUGGAGAAGUAUCAGACAGCCUCUCAACGCAGCCUCGCGGAGGCAUCGCGAAACCCCCGGCGACGGUUGCGUGUGCGAGCCCCGUGAGGCUAAUGCCCUCGUGAGGGCGCCAUCCCAGCCGCCUAGCGAUGGUGAUUCGGGAGCCCGAUCUUCCUUCUUUGGUGUCGCCUUCUUUUUCCUAAAAUGCAACAUGCUUGCCUCGUGGGGGUGUAUAAAAGGGGUUAUGUCCUUCAUGCCUCAAAUUGAUUUCAACGCUCUUUUGGGUCGAAAAUAAACUUCUCCUUGGCACUCCCUGUCGACCUUGCUCCUCCUCCCCGGUCGCUCCAAAGCUUCGUGGCACUAAGGCCCAGCCCCCGAGCAUGGGUAUGAGGGCUCCUGAGUAAGCCAGCGGGCGCGUGCCGCGGGGGCACUAUUUGUUGUCUUUGGCUUCUCCCUAGUGCGAUGCAUGGGGCUUCCACUGGUCGUGGGCAUAGUCGUACAGUCAGGAGGGAGGCACUGAGCGUGCGCGGCAAGAAAAGAGAAGACCAACGAAACUCCGUGAAAACCAGAAGACCAAGAACAUCGCUAAAACCAGAGGCAAACUUGUUUGCAAGUCAAGAAGGAAGGCAAGAAAUACGGAUGUCGUGUCCAGUAUGGGUCAACCUAGAAAGAAAGGCGGUUGCUGUAUCCAGUAUGGGUUAACCUAAAAAAAAUGUGGACCCGGGGUGUCUCCUUCGUCUUCUUACCUAGUUCGGAGCAUGGGUACUGCCACUGUGCGUGGGAGAGGACCCUCCUCCGCGGCAACAACACGGCUCAUUGUGGGCUUCCACUUCGGGGUCCCUAGAGCGUAUACAACCCCCAAAAGUCAUUAUUACGUGAGAGUGUCACGGUCUUCUUCACCAGCGCGGAGCAUGGGGACUGCCACUGGGCGUGGGAGGGGACCCUCCUUCGCGGCCACGACGCGGCUCCUCGUGGGCUUCCACUUCGGGGGUACAAAGUGUAUACAACCCCCAAAACUCAUUAUUACGUGAGAGUGUCAGGGACGGCAAUAGUUGGGCAGAUACCCGAGGUACAAGGCUCAGGAGUCCCUAACCCGGUCUUCACGUGCGCUCCUGCGGCCCAAGCAUGAGCAUCAUUCACGCCCCGCGCGGCCUAAGGAGUGUUGUUGUGUGCCCCUAGUGCCCAGGCAAGAACGCCGUUCACACCCCGCGCGGCUGUAAGAGCACGUCAUCACGAGAGUCGUCAUGUGGGGCGGCAUGGCGCCCAUCCAGCAAUAGCGCGAGCCAAGCAGCGUCCCCUUCAUCUGCUCAUGACGGCUUGUCGUGAGGGCGCGACACUAAGGACUUUGGCGAGAUGACUAACAUAGGUGGCCAGCCCGCGAGUCAGAGCUCGAUCGCUUAGAUUUGUCGGCGCUGUGAGGACAAGUCCUGCACAGAUGCCGUGUCUAACCCCUCAUCGUCGAUCCUUCCCCGGACGGUUGCGGGGUCGCGCCAUCCCCCGACAGCGGCGGAACACCAGAGCUUAAGAUUUAGACAAACAACACCAUCUCAAGCCAAGGUUAAUCGAGUUUGUUACACAUCCAGAAAACACCCGCUUGGGGCGCUGCAAAAUACACAGAAUUGCUUGGUUCAAACGACUCAAAAAUUCACUUGGCGGCCAUGCUGCCGCGAGAGCAUCAGGACGUUUGACGAUGCAUGCCGCAGAGGUCUACCCCCGCGGGUGGGUUGACGACCGGCUCUUGAGGCCUCAAGGGUCCGCCGGGUCCUGACACCUUGCGAGGCAUGCAUGACCCGCAUCUCUUGCAGCUUGUCGGCCUCCUAAGCGGCGAACUCGUGUGUCCCUGGCGCUUGGCGUCACAUUUUUGGCUUGUGGGGGCAUGCGCCGAGGCGCGCCACCACAUGGUUCGUGAGCGCCCACUCGUCAUCUUGACCAAGCCAGGCGGCUUCCAGGCGGGAGCCCCCGAGCCCGGCCUGACGCGGGCUUCGGACGUGGCCUACUAUGAUGGAGGGAGGCGGGCGCCGGCUGGGGGCGCGAGGCCCGCGAUACUAGCGCCUGCCGCGACACCCAUCGCCCUGUGGGUGCGGACGCCGGCCCGACGUGGAUGGCUCGCUCGCUAGGGGAAGACCCGACCGCUCGGUAGUCGUGCGUUUUGUGAGUGCGCGCGUUGUGGUAGGCGCAUAACAUCCCACCGUCUCUUUCUGGCGCGCCUCCGCAUGGGCUGGGCGGCGGCCCGAAGUCGGCUAUCGGAACCCGGAAGGGCAGGAGUACAACGUCAGGCGGACACUGCUCGCCCCCGCCCCCCCAGCUGGGGACCAAGCGGGCCAGCGCGUAUUUGUGAAGGCGGCUUGCUGACCGAGCGUUGUGCCUCUGACGCUCGGGACCGAAGCGGGGCGUAGGGCGUCAGAGCCCACUUGGCGACGGCGACGAACUCGGCGAUGUGGCCCAUCGAGGCGUCGUACCCUUCGUCUGUAGGGUGGUGGCGAAGCAGUUCGCCCGCCAUGAGCAGCGCGUCUUAUGCGUUGAGAUCUCCCACGUGGACACAAGCUGGUGAAGAUGUCGCAGGGGGCGCGGGGAAGCUACCGUCUUGCCGCACUGGGGGCUGUGGGAAGCCGUGCUGCUCGCGGGCGGCACGAGCAACAAUGGUGGUGGCCGCGAUGCUGGUGGGGCGGCAACGGCCGCCUGGCACCGAGCACUCGGGGCGCGUGGGGGCGAGCGUCGACCAUGGGGUUGGUGAAGCUGGAGCCUAAACUGGAGCAAAAGAUCGGUUGCUCACCCCUACGCGGCGCUCCAAAUGUCGGAAUCGGGGCUCCGCGUAUCCGGAGAAGGUUCGAACUCUGGGGUGCACUUGCUCUCCUACCAUGUUCUACCUCUCAACUUCACCGCAACUCUCUGAUGGCUCGAGCUAAGGGAAGAGAACUAGAGCAAGCGAGCAGUUUGCACAUGUUUGGGCCACCUUGCGGUGUAAAACCCUACUCCUGCUUGUCUGGAUUGCUUGAGGUGGAAGACGAGUACAAGGGUGGGUUCUUGCCCUAGUGGAGAUAAUGAGGAUCGGAUCCCUGCUACAGAGACCGACCUCUCUAUUAUACUGGCCAUAGUCCUCUUCCCCACGAAAACACACUCACGGGGAAUGAUCGCCACAACGGCCAUUUUGAAAGGGGACAGGACUCCGGCUCCCCUGGCAAAGGUGAUCUUCGCCUGCAAAAUCCAUCCUCCAUGACGUGUUGGGGAGCUCGGGGGCAACCUCCGCCCUGCCGAGCCCACAGCCUUAGUCCUCUUGCACAUAACAGGAAACCUUUGGGGGUUGCUUUGGGAGCCCACCAGCUAGCCCUGCUUCCUUAGCACAGAAGUGGAAAUCCUUCUUGUCCACGCCUCCUGGCACCACUCAUGUGCCCCCUACGUAGCCUGCGUCACUCACGUGACUGCACAGGGUCAUGAGACCCUACUAGGUCGCCCUUGGCGAACCCGCCUCGCGAGAGCCUCAGGAGUGGCCUCAGGACGUGUCCUCGUAGCGUGCAACCCCCUCGUGGUCUUUGGCGAUGAUCGUGAGGUGCUCGCUUCGCGAGGCGAGGGCCCUUGCGAGGGUCUCCCUUGUUGGGCUUGACGAUGGGACGAGCCGGGCUUGUGUAGCGUGUCGCGCCUGGGGCUGCAGGCCGACGGGCCUGGGCACCCCCGGUCCCAGGGGCCCAACAGAAUCAACCCAACAUGAUGAACAUGAAUAGACAAAAAAUCUCAUGUGUCCUCGGGAGCGUUUUCCUCAUAAUAGAAUACUUUUCGGCUUGUGUUUUGCUAAAAAAGGAUUGUGAUAUCUUGUUGCAUACUUGUUAUCAUUGAGUGCUUGUUACUAUUGUUAUUUAUCACUUGUUACGAAUUAUCUUGCUAUAAAAUUAUCUACCAAUGUUACUCAUAGCACUUGCAUAUAAUACAUAGCUGAAAACUGCUUAUCAUUUUCUUCUGCUCCUUGUUGAAUUCGAUACUCUUACUUAUCGAAAUAACUACGAUUGAUCCCAUAUACUUGUGGAUGGUGCCUUACCGCACAAUAGACGCACGUGCGACAACGUUCGUGAUGGUGCUUCAGGAUUCCAAUGUAUUGCGUCGAGGAUCAAAACGAACUUGUCAACGGACCACUGCCGUCUCAUUCUUUACUGAGUUGGAGGGUUGUCAUCUUAUCCAUGGAAAACGCGUCAAGUUAUCACUUCGGGUCGAAGCACUAAAAGAAAAGGACCGGAAAAUACGGCGGUAUAGGAACCACAGAAACCCAGGAGGCUUUGUUCGUUUGCAUCGAUGUAUUGGGUCAUCGUUUUCAUCUGUUUCGACGCACACGAACAGGCGCGAACAAUUUGAAUCGGCGCGUUGGAGUAGUAGAAAUCAUGCCUUGAUAGUAGAAACAACUGUUGAACUAGGAGGGAGAUGGAGGUGGUUCUUUUGUGGGUGUCCUGGUCCAAAUGCCAAUUAAAGCAAGGCACAUCGCACUCCACCUCGCCCCGGCUACACGAGUAGUAGCAGUAAUAGCCAUCUUUUUUUCUUUUCUUAAAGUACUAGUACAAUCGUACAGUCCUACAAUCCUAGUCCUCCGCGUCUCCCGAAACUAAACCCAGCACAGCGUGGCGUCGGCGUUGGCACCCGCUGGAAAGGGAGAGCUGGCAGCUUGCUAGGUGCAGUGGGCGAUGGAGGACUGAAAGGCGACGGCGAGCGUGACCAGACGGUGCGGCGGAUCGCCUGCGCCCGGGGCGAGGCGACGAGCAAGCAAGUACGCCCGCGCCUGUGGGUCCUCUAGGGGGUAAUUUUGGUGUUUUGACCCUUUCGUCUAAGUUUAGCCGAAUUUGAUUCUGAUGUAGAAAAAUAUUCGGAUCUGACCCGUUUGCUACCGCCGGACCCUGGUAGGGUUGCACGUAAAAAACUCUAAGUUGCAGACACAAUACGCGUGUGAGCGUAUCGUCGGAUCCUUUGACGAUAGGAUUACACAUGCUACCGUCAGGUCCUACGACGAUAUGCCAUUUUCCAACCGCGAGGGACCUCGGCAGUAGGUUGUCAUACCCUACCGUCAAAAAGUUCGACGGUAAGAAAAAUGUCAGAUCUAAUUUUUUUUUACGAUCGAGGACAAAUCUGACUGAACUUAAUAAAAAGAUCAAAACAGUGAAUUUGUCCCCGCUAGGGAGGCCGCGGGGUUUCGGGUCGAGCCUUUUCUCCUGUCGUGGCAUUUCUUUUCCUUAUUUCUUCCUUGGGACGGGUCCGUGCGCGAGGUGGUGAUGGUGGAUGCCCAUCGAACGGGGCGUGGUCGCGGUCGGCCGUGGACCCCGGCCCGGCCCCGGCAUACUCUAGUGUACACUGUACAGACACCAACCACAAGGAAGGAGCAGAAGCUACAGAUAUUUCUACGUACACGCAUGUGCUGUUGACUAACCGGCCGGGGCUGGGUUGGACGCCAGCUAUGCAAAGUGCAAGCUGCAUGCAGCAAGGGCUGGCAGGUCAGACGAGCGCAGGAGUGAAAGACGUCGUCAGGGCCAGGCACGUCGAUGCCGUGCGUGCAUGGGCAGAGCAGCGGGGGCUCUGCUUUUGGUAAAACGAUUGGCGAUCGGAAACGAGCUUGCAUACUGGCAGUGGCAGGCAUGACAUGGCGUGCCGUGGCGCCCUCCCUCCCUGCAUGCAUGCGCUACCAGGCGAGGUCGGACAGAUGGGACGGCUCGCCCCAGUCGCGUCCACCCGGCAGCGAAUGAUCGCGCCGUGGAAAGCGAGUGACAAGGCGUUGGUUGCGUGCGUGACCAUACAAGCAGAUUUUCAGCAGACGAGAUUAAAAGAAUUCCGGGCGGACCGUACGACCACGAGAACUGAGAACUCGUGCCUGACAGCAGGCACACACACGCACGCACGCACCAGGUAACAGGCCUCGGCAUCAGCAUGAACACAAAAAAUAUUCCAGGUCACUUCUCCAAGAUACUCAACGGUAGCAGCUGCUAAUUAAGCGACGAAACGAUGCCAGGCCCUCCCUACAAGUCACCCGCAUGCACGCGACGCAUCCAACCCAACCCAAAGGCUAUGAGGAUCCAUGUCCCCAUCGUCCACGUAUCAGGGAAGGAAGAAGUUGGUGGCGUCUUGUUAUGCGGACAGGCACGAGGCGUUGCCGUUGCUGUCGUCGCUGUAUAUGUUCUCUGCCACCUCCCAGAUCUGCAGCACGUUGUCCUCCGCCACGCUGGCCACCACCCACUUCUCGCUGGGGUUCCACGACAGCUCAGAGAUCUUGGCCGUGUGCCCGCUGUGGACGAAAAGCAGCUCCGGCGGCCCGUCGCCCGCGUCCUCGUCCGCCUGCUCCUCGCCGAUCCUGAAGGUGACACAGCAGCAUAUGACAAAAUUCAGCCACAACUGAAGCGGAAGAUGGCAGAUCUGUCAAGUCACAAAGCUCUCAAAGGCAGUCCACAGAGCAACCAGGCGUUCAUCUUACAGCCAGUGACCCAAGAUGCGUUAGCUUUUUUAUUUACACAGGGUAAAAAAUUGCAAGUUUGUUACUUAUAAGGUCAUAGAAGCUAUCGCGCUUUGUGUCAAUCUUGGAAGGGUUAACGAGUAAAAUAACAGUGUGCCAGCAACAAAAAUGAGAUGCCACCUGCAAAAUGUAAGAUAGAAUACGGGAGCAGAUUUGACUAAGCUUACCUGCUAACGUCCCAUAUCAUCACCCUUUUGUCUGCAGCAUGGGAGGCUAAUACAGUCUCCAAGUUUGGAUUCCACUCGACCUGGAAAACCUCGCCCCUGCACGUGCAAAUUGCGCAACACAACAACAAGUCAGAUGAGUAGAGCAUCAUAAGGAUGCAAAGCAGAAGAAUAGCAGGUAGACUGACCAAUAUAAGAAGCAAAGAGUUGCAGCAUGAUAAGAAAAGAGAAGAACUGACUGCAGCAAAUACAUAAGAAGACAAAAAAAAUAGUACAUACUCAUGGUUGUGGAAAGCAUGCAAGCUUCUUGAUAGUUUUCUCAAGUCAAAUAGCUUAAUAGUCCCAUCACCAGAUGCUGUAGCCAAGAUCCAUUCAUUAAAUGGAUUGAAGGACAAAGAGUUAACCUGACAAAGUCAUUAUAUACAUCAUCAUGAGCAUACUAAUAUAAGGAACAUAUUUUUUCACAGAAACAAACUGUAGGUGCCAGCAUAAAUAUUGAUAUUCUCUAUUCACAAUGCAGAGCCACAUAUUACCAAACGUUUUGUCAUAUUCAAACUCAAAGCCAUAAACAUAAAACAAUCACACAAGCGAACUUCAAUACAGUAGGUACAGUCACACAAGGAAACUGAUGGUGUCCCAACUAGAAAAAACAUCUGCUGGUGAAAUUUUUGAAAGAAGCCAGACACAAGGAAUAAGCAUAUCAUUGCAACUUCAGAAAACAAGCUUCACAUACCACUCCGGUACAUAAAGCAAAGGUCUUGCUCACUAAAAAAAUGAGUAUAGUGCAGCUAUGUUCCCCUCGACACAGAAAAACAUUUAGCUCAGUAGCUCUUGCUCAAAGCAUGCUAACUUCCUUUUAAUGAGCACCUACAGAUUGUUCCUGUUUGUUCAUAUGCAAGUCCCACAUCAUGAGCUUGCAGUCAUCACUAACAGACCCAAAUAGGUUCCAUCUUUUUCAGUAAGGAUGCUUGCACAAAGAAAAGAUCUUCCCAGUAUGGUAAAAGUUGAGCUUAGAACAAACUGUAGUACUGCAGCUAUACUCCACUCAGACACAGAAAAACAUUUAGCUCAGCCAAAAAGUGAGCAUAGAACAAACUGUAGUACUACAGCUAUGUUCCCCUCAACACAGAAAAAACAUUUAGCUCAGCAACUAUCAACUAAAGAAUGCUUACUUCCUUUUGGUGCGCAACUAUAGAUUGUUCUGGUUUGUUUGUACGCAAGUCCCACAUCAUGAACUUGCAGUCAUCGCCAACAGAUCCAAAUAGGUUUUCAUCCUUAAGGUGCCAAGCAACAUCUUCAACAACAUCCUCAUGAGCCUGCAAAAACAUAAAAUUUAACUAGAUGUUUAACAUUGCAAGCCAUGCUUACAUACUGAUGAUUGUGAAGAUCAUAUCUAAAAAUAAACAUACCACUCUUAUGUCACAUCUGUAAAACAGAACCAUGUAAUUACGAUUUUGGAUUUUGAACAAGCAACAUAAGCACAGAAGUAAUGGAUAGCUUAAGAAAUCGUGAUCGUGAAGAUCAUCAAUCAUCAUAUCCAAAAAAUGUGGAUCCAGGCAUAACAGUUACACGAGUCACGUUUCCACUUGGGGCCAUCUUCACAGAUGUAUGUUUUUACUGACAAAAGAAGGCGUUGUCAAAAAUAAUAUGACUAACAAGGAUGGGGAACUACGAUGCUCCGGCUGGAGAAUGGCUGAUGGAAGUCAGUCAUACUUCUAUGCUAUUGUUAAGUUACUUUGGUCUGUUUCUCAGUGUUCAGCUGAUGCUGGUCUUUGUAAUGAGCAAGUACUUUGUAAUAAUGGUUUCUGAACCUGUCGUUUUAGUUUAAGCUGGUGUAGUAGUUUUUUUGUAAGCUCAGUCCUUAACUGUAAGGCUUGUAAUUGGAGGCUGAUCUGGGUCAAAGAAAAUCAUUUUAUUUGAAAAUAAGUAGGGACUAUAGCAAUUUUAACAUGCGAGCCAAAUGAUGCAAGACUCACCACUUACUUGCUUAAAAAAAAGAAAAAGGUCUCCAGCCUCUACAUUAAAUUUUUAAAAGGCAUGUACUCAGCUCAUUAAGUCUUUUCAAAUAAUAGAAAAUUGUGUUUGCACUAUCCAGCUAAAACAGUAUUUUUCCUAGUAUGAAAUCACUGCAAACAGCAAAGAAAUUUAUUCAAGUCCAAUCUUCAUACUAAAGCACCAACAGAAGUAAUGAAUUGUAGUGGCAAUCAAGCUGAUGGUAUUCUAUUUUUUAUUGCUUAAUAAGAACUAUGAGCCUUUUGUUGAGAUCAUGCGUUCUCAUGUUAUCGCGACGGUUUAUUAAUCUGAAGUCAGGAGAGACCACUUCUUUGAUUCCAAAUGAAUUGUGACCUGAUGAGUAAUAACAUUAAGAGCACAACUCUUGCCCGGCACAAAUUGCUAUUUUAUAAAUAAAAUCAGAGAAACAUUAUUUUCAAUAUGCCUGAAAAGUGAAGAAAAAUGACAUACAAAACGUUUCUGGUGCAAGAUUAAUGUGCCUAGCCUGGUUAUCCUCCAUAUACGGAAUAAUCAAGUAUACCAAGGGAAGUUUCAAUAUAUUAGGUUUGCAGACAGUAGACAAAACAGUGAAUGAAGUGGUGACUUCGACUAAAUUUGCUCAUCCAUUCGGGGAGAUUAAGUUGCAUUUCAUCAUAUUAUCCUUUCACAUAUAGUGAUGUGGGUAUGGAAAACGAAGGACGACAUAAUUCAUGGUUGAUUUCUUGGCAAUGUUCUGACUUAUGAGUUAUGAGUUGAGUGCUUCGGGUAUCCACAGGUCUUAUGAAGGCUGAAGUGUUAACUUUGAGUAAUUUGUAAUGAUGGUUUCUGAAACUGUCAUUUUAGUGUCAGCUUCUCUAGUAUUUUUUGUGUAAGCUAGGUCCUGAACUAUAAGGCUUGUGGUUGGGGGUGAUCUAGGGCCAAGAAGCUCAUUUUAUUUGAAAGAAAAAAUGAAGUACGACUGUAGCAAUAUUAGCAUGCUAGGCAAAUGACGCAAUGUUCACCAGCUACUUGCAAAAAAAAGGAAAAAGGUCUCCAGCCUCUGCAUUAUUAUUUUUUAAAGCAGGUACUCAACUCAGCAAGUCUUUCCAAAUAAUAAAAACUAUGUUUUCACUAUCCAGCUGAGGGCCAGUUCUUUUCAGGCUUAUGGCUGGGGGGGGGAAACUAUCCAGCUGAGGGCCAGUUCUUUUCAGGCUUAUGGCUGGCUGUGGAAAUAAACUGCCCCUUCCCCGGCCUAUUCUAGAAGCCGAACAUAAAAUUUUAUUUUAGAAGUCUACUAAUUGAGGGUCAAAUAGUAGGUUGAGGAGGGGGCAGCUUAUUUCCACAGAUAUCCAUAAGCCCCAAAAGAACUGGCUAAACAUUAAUUUUCAUAGUAUGAAACCACGGCAACCAGCGAACAAGUUUAUUUUAAGUCCAAUCUUCAAAGUAAAGCACCAUAAAGAAGUGAUGGAUUGUGCUGGCAAACUGGCAACCAAGGUGAUGAUAUUUUGUUUUAAUUGCUUAAGAAGAACCAUAGAGCUUUUAUUGCUAUUAUGUGUUCUCAUGUUAUCUCAAGGGUUGGUUAACCUGAUGUCAGAAGACAACACUUCUUUGUGUCCAAAUGAAUUAUGAAUAAUAACAGAAGGAGCACAUCUCUUGCGCAACACAAAUUGCUAUUUAGAAAAUCAAAUCAGACAAAUCGUGUUGCCAAUACGCCUGAAAAGUGAAGAAAAUACAAAACGUUCCUGUGCAAGAUUGAUGUAUCUAGCCUGGUUAGCCACCAGAUAUGAAAGAAUUGUGUGUAUCAGGGGAAGUUCCAAUAUAUCAGGUUUGUAGACACUGAAUGUGCUCAUCCUUUCAGGGACUUUCGGUUGGAUUUCAUUAUAUUAUCUUUUCACAUUCAGCGACUUCAACUGAAUGUACUCCGGGUAAUGGAAAACGAAGGGCAGCAUAAUUUGUGCUUGGUUUCUUGGCAUUGUUAUGAUUUUGAGCCGAUUGCUUCGGGUAUCCGCACUUCUUAUGAUACAGAAGUGUUUAAUCAGUUCUGCUUCCAGUGGUAGCUACUACUACUAACAUCACAGUAUAUACUACGUAUUACUCAAAGGUUGCGAACCUAACAUGCAUAAUACGUACAAUCAUAUAGUACAUGAGAAACAAUAUAAAUGUGGGGAACAGGAAACAGCACAGGAGCAUCUGUUGGGACAUUACCGCAAACACCUGUUGCGCGUCCAGAACCGGGGCUCCAUUCCCGGCCUUGAGAUCCCACAGGCAGAUCUUCUNNNNNNNNNNNNNNNNNNNNNNNNNNNNNNNNNNNNNNNNNNNNNNNNNNNNNNNNNNNNNNNNNNNNNNNNNCCCCGCGCUCCAAGCCAGCCCAUCCCCCUCCGCGCCAUGACCCCUGAGCACGACAUCCGCGCCCCGCUUCUCGCCGUCGUCCCCGAGGUGGUACACGUGCACCUCAUCGACGCAAGUCUUGGUGGCCACUGUAUAUGGCUGCUGCGGCAUGCACCGGGCGCGAUUAACCUCGCCCUGAUGCGGCGCCGAGCGGCCGAUGGACACGGACGGGGCCGGGACGGCGCGGCCCUCGGCGGCCGCCGCCGCGGCCAGGCGCGGCGGGA
rnacentral:lncRNA from 1 species